rnacentral:rRNA from 1 species
CAGUCGCCGCGGUAAUACGUAGGGUGCGAGCGUUAAUCGGAAUUACUGGGCGUAAAGCGUGCGCAGGCGGUUUGUUAAGACAGAUGUGAAAUCCCCGGGCUCAACCUGGGAACUGCAUUUGUGACUGGCAAGCUAGAGUGUGGCAGAAGGGGGUGGAAUUCCGCGUGUAGCAGUGAAAUGCGUAGAUAUGCGGAGGAACACCGAUGGCGAAGGCAGCCCCCUGGGCCAACACUGACGCUCAUGCACGAAAGCGUGGGGAGCAAACAGGAUUAGAUACCCCCGUAGUCCCUGUCUCUUAUAC